rnacentral:rRNA from 9 species
CCUUGAGAGUCCUGAAGGAACGUUGAAGACGACGACGUUGAUAGGCCGGGUGUGUAAGCGCAGCGAUGCGUUGAGCUAACCGGUACUAAUGAACCGUGAGGCUUAACCUU